AACGAACGCUGGCGGCAGGCUUAACACAUGCAAGUCGAACGAGAUCUUCGGAUCUAGUGGCAGACGGGUGAGGAACACGUGGGAACAUCCCUUUCAGUUCGGAAUAACGUUGGGAAACUAACGCUAAUACCGGAUACGUCCUUCGGGAGAAAGAUUUAUCGCUGAAAGAUUGGCCCGCGUCUGAUUAGCUAGUUGGUGAGGUAACGGCUCACCAAGGCUACGAUCAGUAGCUGAUCUGAGAGGAUGAUCAGCCACACUGGGUCUGAGACACGGCCCAAACUCCUACGGGAGGCAGCAGUGGGGAAUAUUGGACAAUGGGCGCAAGCCUGAUCCAGCCAUGCCGCGUGAGUGAUGACGGCCUUCGGGUUGUAAAGCUCUUUUGUCCGGGAAGAUAAUGACUGUACCGGAAGAAUAAGCCCCGGCAAACUUCGUGCCAGCCGCCGCCGUAA
rnacentral:rRNA from 1 species